AUUGAACGCUGGCGGCAUGCCUUACACAUGCAAGUCGAACGGUAACGGGCCUUCGGGUGCCGACGAGUGGCGAACGGGUGAGUAAUACAUCGGAAUGUGCCCGAUCGUGGGGGAUAACGAGGCGAAAGCUUUGCUAAUACCGCAUACGAUCUACGGAUGAAAGCAGGGGACCGCAAGGCCUUGCGCGGACGGAGCGGCCGAUGGCAGAUUAGGUAGUUGGUGGGAUAAAAGCUUACCAAGCCGACGAUCUGUAGCUGGUCUGAGAGGAUGAUCAGCCACACUGGGACUGAGACACGGCCCAGACUCCUACGGGAGGCAGCAGUGGGGAAUUUUGGACAAUGGGCGCAAGCCUGAUCCAGCCAUGCCGCGUGCAGGAUGAAGGCCUUCGGGUUGUAAACUGCUUUUGUACGGAACGAAAAGCCUUCUUUUAAUACAGGAGGGUCAUGACGGUACCGUAAGAAUAAGCACCGGCUAACUACGU
rnacentral:rRNA from 1 species